UACGAAGGGGGCUAGCGUUGCUCGGAAUCACUGGGCGUAAAGCGCACGUAGGCGGAUAUUUAAGUCAGGGGUGAAAUCCCAGAGCUCAACUCUGGAACUGCCUUUGAUACUGGGUAUCUUGAGUUCGGGGAGAGGUGAGUGGAACUGCGAGUGUAGAGGUGAAAUUCGUAGAUAUUCGCAAGAACACCAGUGGCGAAGGCGGCUCACUGGCCCGAUACUGACGCUGAGGCACGAAAGCGUGGGGAGCAAACAGG
rnacentral:rRNA from 1 species